rnacentral:rRNA from 1 species
CCUACGGGAGGCAGCAGUGGGGAAUAUUGCACAAUGGGGGAACCCUGAUGCAGCGACGCCGCGUGGAGGAAGAAGGUCUUCGGAUUGUAAACUCCUGUUGUUGAGGAAGAUAAUGACGGUACUCAACAAGGAAGUGACGGCUAACUACGUGCCAGCAGCCGCGGUAAU